CUGGUUAUUCUAGUUUCUACACUGCUGAUGGCACAGAGCAAAUAUUCCUCCUAGGUACAUGUUUGAUGUGUAGACAAAUUCAGCCUUAUUACCUGGAGCUGAGUCGAUGUAGAGAGCCAAGUGAAAUACACAGGUAGAGGAAGAAGUGGGAAAGGCCCUGUGAGCUCACUGGGUCCCCAAGCAGGUCAUUCCUGCCUGGCACCAUAGGGAUCCUUCCGGAGGGUGGCCAGAGGUGCAGGGAAAACGCCACAGGGAGAAGGAACUCUCCAGCUGAUCUUUGUAACAAUUUGAACCUGUUCAGAAGCCUCCUGGCCAGAACUCUGCUUGGGGGGAAGGGCAUGAAUCCAGCAAGCAGACUCCACAGGCCGGGGAAGAACUAAAGCCUUAGUAUCUUUUUUUUUAUUAUUGAGAUGGAGUUUUGCUCUUGUUGCCCAGGCUGGAGUGCGAUGGCGCAAUCUCCGCUCACCACCUCCGCCUGGGAGGCAAGUAGCCCAAGGCAAAUUCUCAGCCCUGCUUGCCCACUUUCUGGAAACAGACUCAGUGCUGUGAGGCGGGGCAUGGUGGGAGUGAGACCUGCCCUUCGGAUUGCGUGGGAGCUGGGUGAGGCCUGUGAUUGCCAGCUUUCCCCCACUUCCUGACAACCUGAGUGACUCAGCAGAGGCAGCCAUAGUCCUCCUAGGUGCAUAACUCCAUUGACCUGGGAACCUCACCCCUAACCCCCACAUCAGCCACAGCAAGACUUGCCCCAGGAGAGUCUGAGCUCAGACAUACCUAGCCCUGCCCCCACCUGAU
rnacentral:lncRNA from 10 species